rnacentral:rRNA from 1 species
UUAUACCGUGAAACUGCGAAUGGCUCAUUAAAUCAGUUAUCGUUUAUUUGAUAGUACCUUACUACUUGGAUAACCGUGGUAAUUCUAGAGCUAAUACAUGCUGAAAACCCCGACUUCGGAAGGGGUGUAUUUAUUAGAUAAAAAACCAAUGCCCUUUCGGGGCUCCUUGGUGAUUCAUAAUAACUUCUCAGAUCGCAUGGCCUUGCGCCGGCGACGGUUCAUUCAAAUUUCUGCCCUAUCAACUUUCGAUGGUAAGGUAUUGGCUUACCAUGGUUUCAACGGGUAACGGGGAAUUAGGGUUCGAUUCCGGAGAGGGAGCCUGAGAAACGGCUACCACAUCCAAGGAAGGCAGCAGGCGCGCAAAUUACCCAAUCCCGACACGGGGAGGUAGUGACAAUAAAUACUGAUACAGGGCUCUUUUGGGUCUUGUAAUUGGAAUGAGUACAAUUUAAACCUCUUAACGAGGAACAAUUGGAGGGCAAGUCUGGUGCCAGCAGCCGCGGUAAUUCCAGCUCCAAUAGCGUAUAUUAAAGUUGUUGCAGUUAAAAAGCUCGUAGUUGAAACUUUGGCCUGGCUGGCAGGUCCGCCUCACCGCGUGCACUUGUCCGGCCGGGCCUUUUCUUCUGGAGAACCGCAUGCCCUUCACUGGGUGUGUUGGGGACCAGGACUUUUACUUUGAAAAAAUUAGAGUGUUCAAAGCAGGCCUUUGCUCGAAUACGUUAGCAUGGAAUAAUAGAAUAGGACGUGCGGUCCUAUUUUGUUGGUUUCUAGGACCGCCGUAAUGAUUAAUAGGGACAGUCGGGGGCAUCAGUAUUCAAUUGUCAGAGGUGAAAUUCUUGGAUUUAUUGAAGACUAACUACUGCGAAAGCAUUUGCCAAGGAUGUUUUCAUUAAUCAGUGAACGAAAGUUAGGGGAUCGAAGACGAUCAGAUACCGUCGUAGUCUUAACCAUAAACUAUGCCGACUAGGGAUCGGGCGGUGUUAUUAUUUUGACUCGCUCGGCACCUUACGAGAAAUCAAAGUG